rnacentral:rRNA from 1 species
GCGGUCGCCGGGUGGAGAGGGUUGGGUAUACGGGGGGUGUAAGGGUGUAUCGGGAUGGCUGGGCGUAAGUCGUGAGUGGGCGGUGGUGUCAGUCAGUGGUGAAAGCCCUGGGCUUAAGCUGGGAACGGUGCGUGAGACGGCUGGACUAGAGUGGUCUAGAGGAUCGUGGAAUGCCGGGUGUAGCGGUGAAAUGCGUAGAGAUCCGGAGGAACACCGAUGGCGAAGGCAGCGGUCUGGGGCCACACUGACGCUGAGGCACGAAAGCGUGGGGAGCAAACAGGAUUAGAUACCCGUGUAGUC